rnacentral:rRNA from 1 species
AGAGUUUGAUCAUGGCUCAGGAUGAACGCUAGCGGCAGGCCUAACACAUGCAAGUCGAGGGGUAACAGGGGAGCUUGCUCCCGCUGACGACCGGCGCACGGGUGCGUAACACGUAUGCAAUCUGCCUUAAGCAGGGGGAUAACCCGGAGAAAUCCGGACUAAUACCCCAUGGCGCGUUUAGGUGGCAUCACCGGAACGCUAAAGAUUUAUCGGCUUAAGAUGAGCAUGCGUCCUAUUAGCUAGAUGGCGGGGUAACGGCCCACCAUGGCAACGAUAGGUAGGGGUUCUGAGAGGAAGGUCCCCCACACUGGUACUGAGACACGGACCAGACUCCUACGGGAGGCAGCAGUGAGGAAUAUUGGUCAAUGGGCGCAAGCCUGAACCAGCCAUGCCGCGUGCAGGAUGACGGCCCUACGGGUUGUAAACUGCUUUUGUACGGGGGCAAACCCUUUCUUGCGAGAGAGGUUGAGAGUACCGUACGAAUAAGGAUCGGCUAACUCCGUGCCAGCAGCCGCGGUAAUACGGAGGAUCCGAGCGUUAUCCGGAUUCAUUGGGUUUAAAGGGUGCGUAGGCGGCUGUAUAAGUCAGCGGUGAAAGGCUGGGGCUCAACCCUAGCAGCGCCGUUGAUACUGUAUAGCUUGAGAACAGAUGAAGCUGGCGGAAUGUGCAGUGUAGCGGUGAAAUGCAUAGAUAUUGCACAGAAGGCCGAUUGCGAAGGCAGCUGGCUAAGCUGUAUCUGACGCUGAGGCACGAAAGCGUGGGGAUCAAACAGGAUUAGAUACCCUGGUAGUCCACGCUGUAAACGAUGAUAGCUCGCUGCUAGCGAUAUACCGUUAGUGGCCAAGCGAAAGCGUUAAGCUAUCCACCUGGGGAGUACGUUCGCAAGAAUGAAACUCAAAGGAAUUGACGGGGGCCCGCACAAGCGGAGGAACAUGUGGUUUAAUUCGAUGAUACGCGAGGAACCUUACCCGGGCUCGAACGGCAGAGGAAUACAGGUGAAAGCUUGUAGCCAGCAAUGGUCUCUGUCGAGGUGCUGCAUGGUUGUCGUCAGCUCGUGCCGUGAGGUGUCGGCUUAAGUGCCAUAACGAGCGCAACCCCUAUCUUCAGUUGCCAUCGGGUGAAGCCGGGAACUCUGAAGAGACUGCCAGCGUAAGCUGAGAGGAAGGUGGGGAUGACGUCAAAUCAGCACGGCCCUUACGUCCGGGGCGACACACGUGUUACAAUGGGUGGUACAGAGGGCAGCUACCGGGCGACCGGAUGCCAAUCUCGAAAGCCACUCCCAGUUCGGAUCGGAGUCUGCAACUCGACUCCGUGAAGUUGGAUUCGCUAGUAAUCGCGCAUCAGCCACGGCGCGGUGAAUACGUUCCCGGGCCUUGUACACACCGCCCGUCAAGCCAUGGAAGCUGGGGGUACCUGAAGUGCGUUACCGCAAGGAGCGCCCUAGGGUAAAACCGGUGACUGGGGCUAAGUCGUAACAAGGUAACC